GACGGAGGGGGCAAGCGUUGUCCGGAAUUACUGGGCGUAAAGCGCUCGUAGGCGGUUAUGUACGGCGGUGGUGAAAGCUCUCGGCUCAACUGAGAGAGGCCCGUCGCAACGGCAUGACUCGAGGGUGGUAGAGGCAAAUGGAAUUCUAGGUGUAGCGGUGAAAUGCGUAGAGAUCUGGAGGAACACCCGUGGCGAAGGCGGUUUGCUGGGCCACACCUGACGCUGAGGAGCGAAAGCCAGGGGAGCGAACGGG
rnacentral:rRNA from 1 species